AAUAAAGUGGCUGAGAUAUAAGCGAUGGAUUGUAAGUUCAUUUACAAGUUUUACUUCUUUAUUA
rnacentral:tRNA from 1 species